CUUUUUCUUCGAUUAGAACUCUUAGAAAAAAUUACGCUGUUAUCCCUAAGGUAAUUUUUCUUUUAAUCUUAAAAAAAGGAUCAUUUUAAUCAUUUAUUUAUGAAACCAUACNAAAAAAGUUAAUUNAAUUUUUCAAUCACCCCAAUUNAAUAUUUAUUUAAAUAAAGAAAAUUCUAUUAUUCCAUAUUUUAACUUUAAAAAUAAAUAUUAAACUCUAUAGGGUCUUCUCGUCUUUUAUAAAAAUUUAAGCUUUUUAACUUAAAAAUAAAAUUCAAAACUUUUAAAUUGAGACAGCUAUUUUUUCAUCAAACCUUUCAUUCCAGCUUUCAAUUAAAAAACUAAUGAUUAUGCUACCUUAGCACAGUCAAAAUACCGCGGCCGUUAAA
rnacentral:rRNA from 1 species